UACGUAGGGGGCAAGCGUUGGUCCGGAUUUAUUGGGCGUAAAGCGCUACGCAGGCGGCUCGAUGCGUCGUGCGUGAAACACCCCGGCUCAACUGGGGAGGGUCGUGCGAUACGGUCGGGCUUGAGGCCAGUAGGGGGAUGCGGAAUUCCGGGUGUAGUGGUGGAAUGCGUAGAGAUCCGGAGGAACACCAGCGGCGAAGGCGGCAUCCUGGACUGGUACUGACGCUCAGGAGCGAAAGCGUGGGGAGCGAGUCCGG
rnacentral:rRNA from 1 species